UGCUUCUUCUCUGUUGGAAGAGUUUAAAAGCAAUAAAACUAAGUGUUUUGAGCUCUCUGAAAUUGCUGGUCAUGUUGUUGAGUUCAGUGCGGAUCAAUAUGGGAGCCGAUUUAUUCAGCAAAAGCUUGAAACAGCUACUACA